rnacentral:rRNA from 1 species
CACUCCUACGGGAGGCAGCAGUGGGGAAUUUUGGACAAUUGGCGAAAGCCUGAUCCAGCAAUGCCGCGUGAGUGAAGAAGGCCUUCGGGUUGUAAAGCUCUUUUGUCAGGGAAGAAACGGUGAAAGCUAAUAUCUUUUGCUAAUGACGGUACCUGAAGAAUAAGCACCGGCUAACUACGUGCCAGCAGCCGCGGUAAUACGUAGGGUGCAAGCGUUAAUCGGAAUUACUGGGCGUAAAGCGUGCGCAGGCGGUUUUGUAAGUCUGAUGUGAAAUCCCCGGGCUCAACCUGGGAAUUGCAUUGGAGACUGCAAGGCUAGAAUCUGGCAGAGGGGGGUAGAAUUCCACGUGUAGCAGUGAAAUGCGUAGAUACGUGGAGGAACACCGAUGGCGAAGGCAGCCCCCUGGGUCAAGAUUGACGCUCAUGCACGAAAGCGUGGGGAGCAAACAGGAUUAGAAACCCUAGUAGUCCC